UGGCUCAGGAUGAACGCUAGCGGGAGGCCUAACACAUGCAAGCCGAGCGGUAGAGUCUCUUCGGAGACUUGAGAGCGGCGUACGGGUGCGGAACACGUGUGCAACCUGCCUUUAUCAGGGGGAUAGCCUUUCGAAAGGAAGAUUAAUACCCCAUAAUAUAUUUUGAGGCAUCUUAAGAUAUUGAAAACUCCGGUGGAUAAAGAUGGGCACGCGCAAGAUUAGAUAGUUGGUGGGGUAACGGCCUACCAAGUCAAUGAUCUUUAGGGGGCCUGAGAGGGUGAUCCCCCACACUGGUACUGAGACACGGACCAGACUCCUACGGGAGGCAGCAGUGAGGAAUAUUGGACAAUGGGUGCGAGCCUGAUCCAGCCAUCCCGCGUGAAGGACGACGGCCCUAUGGGUUGUAAACUUCUUUUGUACAGGGAUAAACCUUUCCACGAGUGGAAAGCUGAAGGUACUGUACGAAUAAGCACCGGCUAACUCCGUGCCAGCAGCCGCGGUAAUACGGAGGGUGCAAGCGUUAUCCGGAUUUAUUGGGUUUAAAGGGUCCGUAGGCGGAUCAGUAAGUCAGUGGUGAAAUCUCAUAGCUCAACUAUGAAACUGCCAUUGAUACUGCUGGUCUUGAGUAAGGUAGAAGUAGCUGGAAUAAGUAGUGUAGCGGUGAAAUGCAUAGAUAUUACUUAGAACACCAAUUGCGAAGGCAGGUUACUAUGUCUUAACUGACGCUGAUGGACGAAAGCGUGGGGAGCGAACAGGAUUAGAUACCCUGGUAGUCCACGCCGUAAACGAUGCUAACUCGUUUUUGGGUUUUCGGAUUCAGAGACUAAGCGAAAGUGAUAAGUUAGCCACCUGGGGAGUACGAACGCAAGUUUGAAACUCAAAGGAAUUGACGGGGGCCCGCACAAGCGGUGGAUUAUGUGGUUUAAUUCGAUGAUACGCGAGGAACCUUACCAAGGCUUAAAUGGGAAUUGAUCGGUUUAGAAAUAGACCUUCCUUCGGGCAAUUUUCAAGGUGCUGCAUGGUUGUCGUCAGCUCGUGCCGUGAGGUGUUAGGUUAAGUCCUGCAACGAGCGCAACCCCUGUCACUAGUUGCCAUCAUUAAGUUGGGGACUCUAGUGAGACUGCCUACGCAAGUAGAGAGGAAGGUGGGGAUGACGUCAAAUCAUCACGGCCCUUACGCCUUGGGCCACACACGUAAUACAAUGGCCGGUACAGAGGGCAGCUACACAGCGAUGUGAUGCAAAUCUCGAAAGCCGGUCUCAGUUCGGAUUGGAGUCUGCAACUCGACUCUAUGAAGCUGGAAUCGCUAGUAAUCGCGCAUCAGCCAUGGCGCGGUGAAUACGUUCCCGGGCCUUGUACACACCGCCCGUCAAGCCAUGGAAGUCUGGGGUACCUGAAGUCGGUGACCGUAAAAGGAGCUGCCUAGGGUAAAACAGGUAACUAGGGCUAAGUCGU
rnacentral:rRNA from 1 species